CUAGAAUAUCAUAAAACCAAAAGAAACAUAUCUAAUGGCCAUCAACAAGUUUUCAUCUCUUCUAUUGAUUUCAUUGAUGAUGAUGUUUGUUCUUCUCUUUACUCCCAUAUAUUCAGGUGAAAUCAACGACUUAAGGCAAUUGAAAAAUUGUGGAAGGAAAUGUAUUAGCACAGAAAACUGCAAUGAAAGAUGCAUACAUGCAGGAUAUGAAGAAGGAAAGUGUCUAGAUAAUGAGGUAGGUGGCGUUGAAUGUUGUUGUCUAGCAAAACUUAAAUUUCAAGUUGGUUCUUCUAUUCCUAAUUAAUAUGGACCUUACUAAAUAAUAUUUGA